rnacentral:rRNA from 1 species
CACGUAGGGGGCGAGCGUUGUCCGGAUUUAUUGGGCGUAAAGAGCUCGUAGGCGGUUUCGUAAGUCGGAUGUGAAAACUCCAGGCUCAACUUGGAGACGCCAUUCGAUACUGCGAUGACUUGAGUCCGGUAGGGGAGUGUGGAAUUCCUGGUGUAGCGGUGAAAUGCGCAGAUAUCAGGAGGAACACCGGUGGCGAAGGCGGCAUCCUGGACCAACACUGACGCUGAGGAGCGAAAGCCAGGGGAGCAAACGGG